rnacentral:rRNA from 1 species
GACCUCUCUUCUCAAAGGAACUCGUUUUUUAAUCGACAAUACUCGCUAAAUCUUACUUGCUAAUUAUUUUCAAGCCUAUAUACCGCCGUUUUAAAAUUAACUUUACAAACUAUAAUUACAUUCAGUUUUUAGCAAAUCAGGUCAAGGUGUAGCUAAUAAGCAAGCUAAAAUAAGUUACGCUAAAAAAAAUUUUUGGAAAAACUCCUAAUGGCUUUCUUAAAUCGGAUUUGACUACAAAUUUAAUAUAAUAACUUAAAAUGAACCAGCUAGUACUC